rnacentral:rRNA from 1 species
UGGGGAAUAUUGCACAAUGGGCGAAAGCCUGAUGCAGCAACGCCGCGUGAGCGAUGAAGGCCUUUGGGUCGUAAAGCUCUGUCCUUGGGGAAGAAUAAAUGACGGUACCCUUGGAGGAAGCCCCGGCUAACUACGUGCCAGCAGCCGCGGUAAUACGUAGGGGGCAAGCGUUAUCCGGAAUUAUUGGGCGUAAAGAGUGCGUAGGUGGUUUUGUAAGCGCGGGGUGAAAGGCAAUGGCUCAACUAUUGUAAGCCCUGCGAACUGCAAGACUUGAGUGCAGGAGAGGAAAGUGGAAUUCCUAGUGUAGCGGUGAAAUGCGUAGAUAUUAGGAGGAACACCAGUGGCGAAGGCGACUUUCUGGACUGUAACUGACACUGAGGCACGAAAGCGUGGGGAGCAA